UGGCUGUUCAAUCGUCAUGAUACAUGUACGAGCAUCACAAAUGAGUCAGCAGUCGAAACAUGGAUUUUACAUACUUGAUUAACAGGAUAAGAAUCGUCAAACUCAAUGUGAUAUUGGUUUCAUUGGGUACCAUAGUUUAUUAAUUCAAUUUUAACACUUUUACACAUUUUUAAAACCACACCAUAUCCCUAUAUUUGAUGCG
rnacentral:lncRNA from 1 species